AUGAACGCUAGCUACAGGCUUAACACAUGCAAGUCGAGGGGCAGCAUGAACUUAGCUUGCUAAGUUUGAUGGCGACCGGCGCACGGGUGAGUAACACGUAUCCAACCUGCCGAUGACUCGGGGAUAGCCUUUCGAAAGAAAGAUUAAUACCCGAUGGCAUAGUUCUUCCGCAUGGUAGAACUAUUAAAGAAUUUCGGUCAUCGAUGGGGAUGCGUUCCAUUAGGUUGUUGGCGGGGUAACGGCCCACCAAGCCUUCGAUGGAUAGGGGUUCUGAGAGGAAGGUCCCCCACAUUGGAACUGAGACACGGUCCAAACUCCUACGGGAGGCAGCAGUGAGGAAUAUUGGUCAAUGGACGAGAGUCUGAACCAGCCAAGUAGCGUGAAGGAUGACUGCCCUAUGGGUUGUAAACUUCUUUUAUACGGGAAUAAAGUGAGGCACGUGUGCCUUUUUGUAUGUACCGUAUGAAUAAGGAUCGGCUAACUCCGUGCCAGCAGCCGCGGUAAUACGGAGGAUCCGAGCGUUAUCCGGAUUUAUUGGGUUUAAAGGGAGCGUAGGCGGACGCUUAAGUCAGUUGUGAAAGUUUGCGGCUCAACCGUAAAAUUGCAGUUGAUACUGGGUGUCUUGAGUACAGUAGAGGCAGGCGGAAUUCGUGGUGUAGCGGUGAAAUGCUUAGAUAUCACGAAGAACUCCGAUUGCGAAGGCAGCUUGCUGGACUGUAACUGACGCUGAUGCUCGAAAGUGUGGGUAUCAAACAGGAUUAGAUACCCUGGUAGUCCACACAGUAAACGAUGAAUACUCGCUGUUUGCGAUAUACAGUAAGCGGCCAAGCGAAAGCGUUAAGUAUUCCACCUGGGGAGUACGCCGGCAACGGUGAAACUCAAAGGAAUUGACGGGGGCCCGCACAAGCAGUGGAGUAUGUGGUUUAAUUCGAAGCAACGCGAAGAACCUUACCUGCUCUUGACAUCCCGGUGACCGGCGUGUAAUGACGCUUUUUCUUCGGAACACCGGUGACAGGUGGUGCAUGGUUGUCGUCAGCUCGUGUCGUGAGAUGUUGGGUUAAGUCCCGCAACGAGCGCAACCCUUAUUGCCAGUUACUACGUUAAGAGGACUCUGGCGAGACUGCCGUUGACAAAACGGAGGAAGGUGGGGAUGACGUCAAAUCAUCAUGCCCCUUAUGACCUGGGCUACACACGUACUACAAUGGGUGUAACAGAGGGAAGCAAGAUAGCGAUAUGGAGCGAAACCCAAAAAGCACCCCCAGUUCGGAUUGAAGGCUGAAAUUCGCCUUUAUGAAGCCGGAAUUGCUAGUAAUGGCAGGUCAGCAUACUGCCGUGAAUACGUUCCCGGGCCUUGUACACACCGCCCGUCACACCAUGAGAGUUGGGGAUACCCGAAGCCUGUGAGCCAACAGUAAUGAGGCAGCAGUCGAAGGUAGAAUCAAUGAUUGGGGUG
rnacentral:rRNA from 1 species